rnacentral:misc_RNA from 1 species
UCCGGAGGGUGCGAGCGUUAAUCGGAAUGACUGGGCGUAAAGCGCGCGCAGGCGGCGUGAUAAGCCGGUUGUGAAAGCCCCGGGCUCAACCUGGGAACGGCAUCGGGAACUGUCAGGCUAGAGGGCAGGAGAGGAAGGUAGAAUUCCCGGUGUAGCGGGGAAAUGCGUAGAGAUCGGGAGGAAUACCAGUGGCGAAGGCGGCCUUCUGGACUGACACUGACGCUGAGGUGCGAAAGCGUGGGUAGCAAACAGG